rnacentral:rRNA from 1 species
UUGAACGCUGGCGGCAUGCUUUACACCUGCAAGUCGAACGGCAGCGCGGGCUUCGGCCUGGCGGCGAGUGGCGAACGGGUGAGUAAUGCAUCGGAACGUGCCCAGUAGUGGGGGAUAGCCCGGCGAAAGCCGGAUUAAUACCGCAUACGACCUGAGGGUGAAAGCGGGGGACCGAAAGGCCUCGCGCUAUUGGAGCGGCCGAUGUCGGAUUAGCUAGUUGGUGGGGUAAAGGCUUACCAAGGCGACGAUCCGUAGCUGGUCUGAGAGGACGACCAGCCACACUGGGACUGGGACACGGCCCAGACUCCUACGGGAGGCAGCAGUGGGGAAUUUUGGACAAUGGGGGCAACCCUGAUCCAGCCAUGCCGCGUGCGGGAAGAAGGCCUUCGGGUUGUAAACCGCUUUUGUUCGGGAAGAAAUCCUCUGGGCUAAUACCCCGGGGGGAUGACGGUACCGGAAGAAUAAGCACCGGCUAACUACGUG